rnacentral:misc_RNA from 1 species
AACGCACCUUGCGCUCCCUAGUAUUCUGGGGAGCAUGUCUGUUUGAGUGUCAUGAACUCUUCAACCCUCCAGUUUCUUGUAGACUGGCAGGUGUUUGGAUUUUGAAUGUUGCAUGGUCUUCGGACGUAGCUCAUUCGUAAUACAUUAGCAUCUCUAAUUCGAAUUCGGAUUGACUCAGUGUAAUAGACUAUUCGCUGAGGACACUUUUAUUAGUGGCCGAACAAGAUAAUUGUAGAAGCUUCCAACCUCUAUAGUCAACUUUAGAUUAGACCUCAGAUCAGGUAGGGAUACCCGCUGAACUUAA